GUAAUAUAUCGGAACGUGCCCAGUCGUGGGGGAUAACGUAGCGAAAGUUACGCUAAUACCGCAUACGAUCUACGGAUGAAAGCGGGGGACCGUAAGGCCUCGCGCGAUUGGAGCGGCCGAUAUCAGAUUAGGUAGUUGGUGGGGUAAAGGCUCACCAAGCCAACGAUCUGUAGCUGGUCUGAGAGGACGACCAGCCACACUGGAACUGAGACACGGUCCAGACUCCUACGGGAGGCAGCAGUGGGGAAUUUUGGACAAUGGACGCAAGUCUGAUCCAGCCAUUCCACGUGCAGGAUGAAGGCCCUCGGGUUGUAAACUGCUUUUGUACGGAACGAAAAGGUCUCUAUUAAUACUGGGGGCUCAUGACGGUACCGUAAGAAUAAGCACCGGCUAACUACGUGCCAGCAGCCGCGGUAAUACGUAGGGUGCAAGCGUUAAUCGGAAUUACUGGGCGUAAAGCGUGCGCAGGCGGUUAUGUAAGACAGAGGUGAAAUCCCCGGGCUCAACCUGGGAACUGCCUUUGUGACUGCAUAGCUAGAGUACGGUAGAGGGGGAUGGAAUUCCGCGUGUAGCAGUGAAAUGCGUAGAUAUGCGGAGGAACACCGAUGGCGAAGGCAAUCCCCUGGACCUGUACUGACGCUCAUGCA
rnacentral:rRNA from 1 species